GUUGGUCUCAGGGAUCGUCAGUGUGACUGCGGUGGGGAGGAGGCCCAGGAGUGGACAGGAGUGGAGGCGGUACAGGCCAUGGUGAGGAGACGUGGAGAUGGGAGCCCACCCACCCGGGCUCCUUCGCUGUGCGUGGGUGGGGCUGGAGGGUGUCCAGACACACAGGUUCCCUUGACCCCUCCUCCCCCUCAGCUACAGUGGUUGUGGGCUGGGGAGAGUAGCAGGUUUCCCUUCCUGAACGGCUAUCAUCCCCAGCCCGGCUCAGGCCGAGUCCAGCUCCAGCCCCAGUGGCUAAUCCUGGUGACACUGGGUCCUGAGGCCGGGGCGGGGCAGCCGGGCAGCUGGCCUCAAUUAGCCGGGGAGCCGGGUCUGGACAGUGUCAUUAGGAGAAAACCAGAGCCUGGCCAUAAACUCUAAUGAAUGCAUUAAUGGAAGGCUUGUGCGCCUCAAAGGGGAAAAAAAAAAAGCGGGUCUAAAUAAAGUUAUUAACACAGCCCACCUGUGUUCGGCUCUCGGCCUAUAUUGUUCAAAUAGCCCAUUAACUCCUGAAGCAUCCAGUCUUGAAAGCAAGCCCUGCCUCUCUGAAGCAGGCGUUUAACUGCGUUCAUAUAAUUCAAUUAGAUCCCGCAGUCGUGGUCCAAAGGCAUUCUCUGGGCUUUCAUCUCGGUAGCCUGGGAGAGAGAUGGGCCCGUGCACCUGUCCACAGAGAGCCUCCAUGCAGCCGUACCUCCUGGGCCGGCCCUGGCACCGCCAGCUCCUGAGUUCGCCCUGCCCCUCGGACGCCGGCAGGCAGUCUUAAAAAGGAUAAGAUGGAGGACCCUCCAAGAUGUAUUAGAAAAUGGAAAAAAGCAAGCUGCAGAAUUGUGUACUGGCAACUACUGUUUUACUUCCCUGAAGAAGCUCAUGAUAUUAUAAUUCAAGUGUCAGGACAGAUUAGGUUAAAUGAACUGUGUAAUUCCCGAAGGAAAACAAACUUCAAAACGGACGCGGUUCGCCUUGUAACAUGUCAUGGAUUGCAUUAGCGUUGAACGGGCGAUUCCAUCACCCAAAUGUGCUAAAGUUGGCUCAAAUGUUCCCCACUCUGCAAGGGCCAGGGCCGUCGGGGCCACGGCUUAUCCAUCAUUGCAAAGAUCUCUCUGAGGCAUGGAGCGGAGGCAGCCCUGCCCAGAGGGGUUGGAAAAUGAGCGGCAUAUGGGGCCCUCAGUCCCAGGACCUUCUUGGCUUGGCUCCCGGGGAAGGGCGUGGGCUUCUUGGUCUGGAAACCGCCCAGGGAAGGCCUCUGGGGAGGCAAAGGCACACGGCUUCAGAAAAAUGGUACAUCUCUGUGGCUUUGGUGACCAGGUCUGCCUUUCCGGGCUCUUCGGAUUCCCCCAUUUUCCCCCAGCCCCGAGACCAACUUUGGGGAGAGGGGAAGCUCACACCUCAGAGAUCCAGACACCUGCCGCGGUGCUGGGGAGGGGAUGCUAGUGAAGGUGGGAAUGGUGUUUCUAAGCAGCCCUGGAAGGUGAGCAAAUUCCGGUACCUCUGUAUGGUCUCAGGAACCUGCAUCCUUGCUCCUCUGCAUUCCCUUCCUCCGAGUGACGAGGGGCUGUGAACUCUCCGACCUGCCCAGGUGGAAUUCUGAGAUCGUCAGAAGUCCCUCCUUUGAGCCUCAGUUCCAUGAGUAUCAAACUGCUGGGGAGACUUUGGGGGUGGGGGAAGCAACAAGUUUGAGCCAAGAACCCAUGAUUGAAAUUCUCCACCAAUAAAUUCCUCCCAGCUGAGCCCCAAGGGUCUGUAGUUGGUUCAGCAAGCUGGGGCGGCAGGAAGCGGGUGGGGGUCUGCCAACUUCAAACAGGAC
ensembl:lncRNA